GCCGGGCGUGGUGGCUCACGCCUGUAAUCCCAGCACUUUGGGAGGCUGAGGUGGGUGGAUCACCUGAGGUCGGGAGUUCGAGACCAGCCUGGCCAACAUGGUGAAACCCUGUCUUUA
rnacentral:SRP_RNA from 1 species